UGCUGAGGUUCAAUUGGCACAACUGGAAGGAAGACUCAGUGUUGAUGUUGAUGGGAAAUAAGGAAAGAGCAGAGCAAACACAAACUGGAGCAAGGCGAUCCGAAAAAGCAGGACUGACUCAGCCCCUCAGUGCUCCGAUCUGAGCAGCAUAAAAGUUCCCGUUCCGUACUCCUUUGCUCAUUCGGCAUUUCAACUUCACUUCUCUUCUGCUCCUCACCUGCUUCUGCUCUUGGAAAAUUUGCUGCAAGGAAACCUCUCGAGACUAAUUAGCAAGAGUGAUGGCUGAUCUGACUAUCAAAAUGAACAUGCUCAAUAUGGGAACUGGAGAGUUUAAUGAUUUAACCAUCAUGUCCAGGAACCACCCUAUACUGGUGGUUCACCCAUGGGUCCAGAGAGCAGCCGCCAGGUUUCUCCCUGAUGUUUGAUGACCUCUCUGCUGCCACUGCUGUUUCUGCUGACCUGUAUCCUCUGCUGAUCCCCGAGAAG